rnacentral:rRNA from 1 species
ACUAAGCGUACACGGUGGAUGCCCUGGCAGUCAGAGGCGAUGAAGGACGUGCUAAUCUGCGAUAAGCGUCGGUAAGGUGAUAUGAACCGUUAUAACCGGCGAUUUCCGAAUGGGGAAACCCAGUGUGAUUCGUCACACUAUCAUUAACUGAAUCCAUAGGUUAAUGAGGCGAACCGGGGGAACUGAAACAUCUAAGUACCCCGAGGAAAAGAAAUCAACCGAGAUUCCCCCAGUAGCGGCGAGCGAACGGGGAGCAGCCCAGAGCCUGAAUCAGUGUGUGUGUUAGUGGAAGCGUCUGGAAAGGCGUGCGAUACAGGGUGACAGCCCCGUACACAAAAAUGCACAUACUGUGAGCUCGAUGAGUAGGGCGGGACACGUGGUAUCCUGUCUGAAUAUGGGGGACCAUCCUCCAAGGCUAAAUACUUCUGACUGACCGAUAGUGAACCAGUACCGUGAGGGAAAGGCGAAAAGAACCCCGGCGAGGGGAGUGAAAAAGAACCUGAAACCGUGUACGUACAAGCAGUGGGAGCACGCUUAGGCGUGUGACUGCGUACCUUUUGUAUAAUGGGUCAGCGACUUAUAUUCUGUAGCAAGGUUAACCGAAUAGGGGAGCCGAAGGGAAACCGAGUCUUAACUGGGCGUUAAGUUGCAGGGUAUAGACCCGAAACCCGGUGAUCUAGCCAUGGGCAGGUUGAAGGUUGGGUAACACUAACUGGAGGACCGAACCGACUAAUGUUGAAAAAUUAGCGGAUGACUUGUGGCUGGGGGUGAAAGGCCAAUCAAACCGGGAGAUAGCUGGUUCUCCCCGAAAGCUAUUUAGGUAGCGCCUCGUGAAUUCAUCUCCGGGGGUAGAGCACUGUUUCGGCAAGGGGGUCAUCCCGACUUACCAACCCGAUGCAAACUGCGAAUACCGGAGAAUGUUAUCACGGGAGACACACGGCGGGUGCUAACGUCCGUCGUGAAGAGGGAAACAACCCAGACCGCCAGCUAAGGUCCCAAAGUCAUGGUUAAGUGGGAAACGAUGUGGGAAGGCCCAGACAGCCAGGAUGUUGGCUUAGAAGCAGCCAUCAUUUAAAGAAAGCGUAAUAGCUCACUGGUCGAGUCGGCCUGCGCGGAAGAUGUAACGGGGCUAAACCAUGCACCGAAGCUGCGGCAGCGACGCUUAUGCGUUGUUGGGUAGGGGAGCGUUCUGUAAGCCUGUGAAGGUGUACUGUGAGGUAUGCUGGAGGUAUCAGAAGUGCGAAUGCUGACAUAAGUAACGAUAAAGCGGGUGAAAAGCCCGCUCGCCGGAAGACCAAGGGUUCCUGUCCAACGUUAAUCGGGGCAGGGUGAGUCGACCCCUAAGGCGAGGCCGAAAGGCGUAGUCGAUGGGAAACAGGUUAAUAUUCCUGUACUUGGUGUUACUGCGAAGGGGGGACGGAGAAGGCUAUGUUGGCCGGGCGACGGUUGUCCCGGUUUAAGCGUGUAGGCUGGUUUUCCAGGCAAAUCCGGAAAAUCAAGGCCGAGGCGUGAUGACGAGGCACUACGGUGCUGAAGCAACAAAUGCCCUGCUUCCAGGAAAAGCCUCUAAGCAUCAGGUAACAUCAAAUCGUACCCCAAACCGACACAGGUGGUCAGGUAGAGAAUACCAAGGCGCUUGAGAGAACUCGGGUGAAGGAACUAGGCAAAAUGGUGCCGUAACUUCGGGAGAAGGCACGCUGAUACGUAGGUGAAGCGACUUGCUCGUGGAGCUGAAAUCAGUCGAAGAUACCAGCUGGCUGCAACUGUUUAUUAAAAACACAGCACUGUGCAAACACGAAAGUGGACGUAUACGGUGUGACGCCUGCCCGGUGCCGGAAGGUUAAUUGAUGGGGUUAGCGCAAGCGAAGCUCUUGAUCGAAGCCCCGGUAAACGGCGGCCGUAACUAUAACGGUCCUAAGGUAGCGAAAUUCCUUGUCGGGUAAGUUCCGACCUGCACGAAUGGCGUAAUGAUGGCCAGGCUGUCUCCACCCGAGACUCAGUGAAAUUGAACUCGCUGUGAAGAUGCAGUGUACCCGCGGCAAGACGGAAAGACCCCGUGAACCUUUACUAUAGCUUGACACUGAACAUUGAGCCUUGAUGUGUAGGAUAGGUGGGAGGCUUUGAAGUGUGGACGCCAGUCUGCAUGGAGCCGACCUUGAAAUACCACCCUUUAAUGUUUGAUGUUCUAACGUGGACCCGUGAUCCGGGUUGCGGACAGUGUCUGGUGGGUAGUUUGACUGGGGCGGUCUCCUCCUAAAGAGUAACGGAGGAGCACGAAGGUUGGCUAAUCCUGGUCGGACAUCAGGAGGUUAGUGCAAUGGCAUAAGCCAGCUUGACUGCGAGCGUGACGGCGCGAGCAGGUGCGAAAGCAGGUCAUAGUGAUCCGGUGGUUCUGAAUGGAAGGGCCAUCGCUCAACGGAUAAAAGGUACUCCGGGGAUAACAGGCUGAUACCGCCCAAGAGUUCAUAUCGACGGCGGUGUUUGGCACCUCGAUGUCGGCUCAUCACAUCCUGGGGCUGAAGUAGGUCCCAAGGGUAUGGCUGUUCGCCAUUUAAAGUGGUACGCGAGCUGGGUUUAGAACGUCGUGAGACAGUUCGGUCCCUAUCUGCCGUGGGCGCUGGAGAACUGAGGGGGGCUGCUCCUAGUACGAGAGGACCGGAGUGGACGCAUCACUGGUGUUCGGGUUGUCAUGCCAAUGGCACUGCCCGGUAGCUAAAUGCGGAAGAGAUAAGUGCUGAAAGCAUCUAAGCACGAAACUUGCCCCGAGAUGAGUUCUCCCUGACCCUUUAAGGGUCCUGAAGGAACGUUGAAGACGACGACGUUGAUAGGCCGGGUGUGUAAGCGCAGCGAUGCGUUGAGCUAACCGGUACUAAUGAACCGUGAGGCUUAACC